GACGAACGCUGGCGGCGUGCCUAAUACAUGCAAGUUGAGCGCUGAAGGUUGGUACUUGUACCGACUGGAUGAGCAGCGAACGGGUGAGUAACGCGUGGGGAAUCUGCCUUUGAGCGGGGGACAACAUUUGGAAACGAAUGCUAAUACCGCAUAAAAACUUUAAACACAAGUUUUAAGUUUGAAAGAUGCAAUUGCAUCACUCAAAGAUGAUCCCGCGUUGUAUUAGCUAGUUGGUGAGGUAAAGGUUCACCAAGGCGAUGAUACAUAGCCGACCUGAGAGGGUGAUCGGCCACAAUGGGACAGAGAAACGGCCCAAACUCCUACGGGAGGCAGCAGUAGGGAAUCUUCGGCAAUGGACGAAAGUCUGACCGAGCAACGCCGCGUGAGUGAAGAAGGUUUUCGGAUCGUAAAACUCCGUUGGUAGAGAAGAACGUUGGUGAGAGUGGAAAGCUCAUCAAGUGACGGUAACUACCCAGAAAGGGACGGCUAACUACGUGCCGGCAGCCGCAGUAA
rnacentral:rRNA from 1 species